rnacentral:telomerase_RNA from 1 species
CAUUGAAAAUAAUUGCUGCGUUAUCUGUGUUGCUAGGAUAACGUCUUUGGCGUUGUGACACGGAUUAAUAACGAAACUAACGAAAUACAAAAUGAGGUGUUGCUUGUCCGUGGGUUCACCUAAAUCAAAAAUGUAACGGGAUGCUCGCAGAGCUUUUUUU